CAUCCUAACCAGAGUUCUAAUUGAUUACCGUCCCGCAAAUGCAUUUUCCACUAUCACGGUAAAUAGGUUAACUAAACAAUUUCCUAUUGGGAAAUUUGAACAUAACCAGGUAGCUCUACCUACUAGCUACACUAUUCAUCGUACAUUCAGUUUGAGAACUAGGUAUGCAUUUGUGGCCGGAAUCAUAAGGUUCAACAAAUAAUCAUCUUUAAAAGUUAGAUUAAACUUUCAUCAUAAACCAUUUUAUGUUUAGACCCUGUUUAGACCCUUGGAUCGAUCAUUACCAAGGCAGUUUUCAUUAAAUAAUGUGAUUGUGAUUCCACACAUGCAUGUGGCAACAAGCCUUCUGAUUUGAAGAAUGAAGUUUAACAAAUAUGGAGAUUUAGAAGUAGACAAUAAAAAAUAGAAAAUUUCCAGAAAGUUUUGAAGAAAAAUAAAAAAUAGAGAAGAAAAGGUGGGGAAUGAUUCCAAAACAUGUGAAGUUUCAUAAAUAAAGAAAUGUCAAUCCCAAACGGUGGUUU
rnacentral:lncRNA from 1 species